GACGAACGCUGGCGGCGUGCUUAACACAUGCAAGUCGAACGGAAAGGCCCUGCUUUUGUGGGGUGCUCGAGUGGCGAACGGGUGAGUAACACGUGAGUAACCUGCCCUUGACUUUGGGAUAACUUCAGGAAACUGGGACUAAUACCGGAUAGGAGCUCCUGCUGCAUGGUGGGGGUUGGAAAGUUUCGGCGGUUGGGGAUGGACUCGCGGCUUAUCAGCUUGUUGGUGGGGUAGUGGCUUACCAAGGCUUUGACGGGUAGCCGGCCUGAGAGGGUGACCGGCCACAUUGGGACUGAGAUACGGACCAGACUGCUACGGGAGGCAGCAGUGGGGAAUAUUGCACAAUGGGCGGAAGCCUGAUGCAGCAACGCCGCGUGCGGGAUGACGGCCUUCGGGUUGUAAACCGCUUUCGCCUGUGACGAAGCGUGAGUGACGGUAAUGGGUAAAGAAGCACCGGCUAACUACGUG
rnacentral:rRNA from 1 species